CCGUGGAAAGUGACGGUGGCGCCGGGGGUGACGAAGGGUUGAUGGAGAGUGACGUUGGUGACGGUUCCCGAACCGGACAGGACACAUAGGCCCGUGUUCUUUCUGCGGCUGAACCGGGCCAGGGCCUUGACCACGUAGCUUCUGCCCGGGAUUUCUAAAAUAAAAGGGGUCAUAGCAGGCUCGGGCUCCUGGGUUAUAACGAGUGGCGGUUUGGGCUUGUUUUUGGAGCCAGGAGGGCGGCCCCUGGGGCGCCUAACCACUUCAAUUGUGGCCCCGUCGCCGGCGGGGGCGGAGGCGGCGUUGGGACGGGCAUGGUGGUCCUCGGGCGUUUGACAUUCCCGGGAAUAGUGUUUUUUAGUUUAGGGUUUAAUUAUUUCUGUUUGUGAUCUGGUUUGUGUAAAAAAGAGGGCUCUGUUUUAGAUUUUCUUAUGUGCUUUUUAUUCCCCUUUCAUGUUUGGAUUAACUAUAUUGAUAAAAUGUCUUGGGAAAAAAUGUUAAUUAGGUUAGGAUAUGACUCCUUGAUUACAGUGUUUUCUCCGUGUUAUCUAGUUGAAUGGAUUUUGCAGUAUUGUUGUAUAUGACAUGAUUUGGGUGUGCUUUAACAAGAUUAUUGGCGUUCUGUGAGAUUAUUGUUUUCCGUUUUGAUGCUUGUAUGUUUUGAUAUUUUUAUUGGCAGAAUUUAUGUGUUUUUGUUGUCCCAAGGUGUGUAGAUGAUUAUUAUUUCAGGAAUUGAGAAUUUUGAUCUUUUAUCCAUCAACUAUUUUGUUUCUCAAACAAAGGAGAAAGUUACUUCCAUGAGUUUAUCAGGAUUCCGUUUUUGAGAGCUAAUUUGGUUUCAUUGCUACAUAUGAUAAUUUUUGGCUCAAUAAUAAUUUAUUUACUUGGUGAAUAUGUUUGUUUUAGUUUUUUGCAGAAGAUUUUACAUGCAUUUGACCUAAAAUAUGAAUCUGGACUGGACCAGGUAAUAUGUAGACUGAACUUUUAUUCUUUUUGGGUCAUGUGUUAGGGGAUUUGGGAGUUCUUGUCUUUUGGGGACUGAGUUCAAGCUAUGAAUAUGUUUUGUUUUGUGUACCUUAAUAGCUUAUAUAGGCCUUUGUUAUACAGUAAGUUGGUAACAACCACCACCAUGUAGUUCUUUACUUGAAACAUAGGAGAGCUAGCUAGAUAUUGGUAGGUACUGUAAGUAAAUGAUGUUUCUUCAUUUUCAUCUACUUAUAUUUUGCAGCAUUAUUCAAAAGGCUAGCAACGCAUUAGAAGUACUAAAAGAGGUCCUUGAUGCUGUUGAUGCUUAAAAUCCUCAGGUGACUACUGCGAGUCUAUUGUAGAAUCUAACAAUGUUCCUUUCAAAAGCAAAGGGUUAUGCAUCUUGUGAUGCCUUCUAGAGAUGAAAGCAUAGUUUCUCGAGCAAUUGAAUUGAAUGAGCAACUUCAGAAAGUUCUUGCAAGACAUGAUGACCUUCUUGCUGGCAGAACUACAACAACUGCCCCUCGAUUUGAUCACGAAGAAGCUGAGGAGGAAGAGGAACUUGAGCAGUUAGUUCGAAGCUUCCUGUGAGAGUGUUGAUGUUGCUCAUUUUGACCAUGCCCUUUACAAAGAAGCUGACCACUGAACCAAGCCAUAUGCAAUACCAAUAUGAAGCAACAAUGGAAGAGCUGAUAGUACAAUCAAUGGCAUUACUGCAGAUUGUGUCUGAAGAAAUCUCAAGAUGUUUUGCAAAAAGCUAUAUGCAAACAAUCCUGGGAUAAAAAACUUCAUAUAAAGAGUAGCUGUUCUUGCAAUGUCUUGAUAUUGAUGAAGCAACACUAGGAUGGGUUCUGUAUAGAACCAAAUAAUUGAUAUAAUGAAGGAGAAAAUAAGAGGUAUGAUGCAAGAGACUUGUAGGUAAAUUGCCAGCAUUUGGUAAUCCUUUGCACCAAAUCCUUGCCCGCACAGUGUUUCCAGUGCCCCACUCAAACCAACCUAAGACAAGAAUAAGGGUAUGAACCAGGAAUUUAAUCUAGUAACAACAUUUAUCUUGUUGCAUUCAAUUGAACCAGGUUUGAGACAAAUGUUAUGAUGUUAAAUUUGCACCAGUGUUUAUAAGGAUAAAUUCAGGUAUAGAAAUAAAGAUUGGAAACAAUCAUUGACAUUUAACCAAAAAAUUGUAUCUUUGUUAAUCUCCUCUACAGGGUAUGAGAUAAUGUUUACUAUGCAUAUGAGGCAUGCUUGUUA